UACGUAGGGAGCAAGCGUUGUUCGGAUUUACUGGGCGUAAAGGGCGCGUAGGCGGCAUAUUAAGUCAUCUGUGAAAUCUCCGAGCUUAACUCGGAACUGUCAGCUGAUACUGAUGUGCUAGAGUGCGGAAGGGGCAAUCGGAAUUCUUGGUGUAGCGGUGAAAUGCGUAGAUAUCGUGAGGAACACCAGAGGCGAAGGCGGCUUCCUGGACAAUUGCUGACGCUCAGGCACGAAAGCGUGGGGAGCAAAAGGG
rnacentral:rRNA from 1 species